rnacentral:rRNA from 1 species
AUUGAACGCUGGCGGCAGGCCUAACACAUGCAAGUCGAACGAGUGGCGGACGGGUGAGUAAUGUCUGGGAAACUGCCCGAUGGAGGGGGAUAACUACUGGAAACGGUUGCUAAUACCGCAUUCCCUCGGAUGUGCCCAGCUGGGAUUAGCGAGUAGGGGGGGUAAAGGCUCACCUAGACGACGAUCCCUAGCUGGUCUGAGAGGACGACCAGUCAAACUGGAACUGAGACACGGUCCAGACUCCUACGGGAGGCAGCAGUGGGGAAUAUUGCACAAUGGGCGCAAGCCUGAUGCAGCCAUGCCGCGUGUAUGAAGAAGGCCUUCGGGUUGUAAAGUACUUUAAGCGAGGAGGCGUUACUCGCAGAAGAAGCACCGGCUAACUCCGUGCCAGCAGCCGCGGUAAUAC